UUGUUUAUUAUAAGGCAACUUCCUCAUAUGCUCUGUGACUUGUUUUUUUUCUUCAGUCGGUUUGGACAUAGCAAUAAUUUUAUCAGCACCAUAUCCCAUGAAACAGAUGUCAUAAUUCAUGGCCAGGAAGGGUGGCCAGGGGAGGCCUCGCUGUGAAGCAAAGGAUGGAUCUGGUAAAAAGGAUACACAUCAUGGGACAGCAGAGCAAAGGUCUUACCCAGAGGGUCCGGACUGUCCAGGAGCAGCAGGGAGGCCAGUGUUGUUGGAGCCCAUGGACAGGAGGAGUCACUGUAGGGAAGGCGUAAGGAAGGGAGGUAAGAGCAGCCAGAAAAGAAAUACUGAGAAUAGAAGGUUGAACCGAGUGACAUGGAAAUCUUCCCUUAGCCUAAGAAGAACAGUUUCUGCCGAGUUGUGGGGACAAGAGCAUGGGAGGAGUGGGCUCAACAGUAAAUUGGGGAGGAGACAGGAAUAGUAGGCAGAGAUGCAUCAG
rnacentral:lncRNA from 1 species